AUGAACGACCAAUUUUCACUUAAUACCAUUGACAGGCUGGUUUUUCAGUUUGCUCUCCAGACGAGGGAGCUUUCCCAAAAGAAGAAUGAAAUCAACCAACAGAUUAAAGUUUACAGAGUUGACGCUGCUGAGAGGAGGUCGUCCAUCGAAGCGAUCCACAGAAAUAUCCAAACACUUGAGGAGGAAAUCAGGGCGAAGCAGAUCACUGUGACACGUAACAAAGCAAAUGCUAAAAGCAUGAAGGCGAAUAACACCCUGCUGCUUCAGUACGAGCAGACGCUGAAAGCAGAGCUGGAGGGCAGAAAAGCAAGUUACAACCACGACCUGGAUGUCCAUGAAGAGAGACUGGCGAGCUGCAGGAAGACUUUCCAGUCGCAUAAGGAAUAUUAUUGCAAAAAUCCUUUAGCUCAAAAGCUCCUCACGCUGCAGGCUGAAAAGGAGGAGAUUGAGUUUAGGAUCAGGGCUUGUGAUGAUCAAAUUACAAUGAGACAGAAGAAGCUGGAUCAACUCACUGGUCCAGCCGUCAAUUCUUUUCUCCCUGAGAAACUACAUGCCAGUGUUGCAGGUCAGCCGCCCACAGCAGAACCAGAGAAACAACUUGAUACGGAGAUGGAGGAGGAGAGCAAUUCAUCAAUAGACAUCUCUUCUCUUCAUCUUGACCAGACAAAGAAUGGUAAUCCAACUUCUGUAGAGGCAAGGCAGGACAUUUGUGAGGAAAACAAGGUGCAGUAUUCUACCGUCUGCCGCCAGUCCUCUGCAGAGGAAGACAACGAGCCGUGGUCAUGCCAACCGUUGGGCGAGGAAAGAGAGCCAGAUGAGAUGCACAGCAACAAGCACGAUGGGGAGGAAUCUAGACAAGAGGACCACGUCUUGCAAUCCGGAGCGUCAGCCGCGCAACAGGCAGUCGAGGUCGAGGCGGAGGAAGUAGCCAUCGGUGAGGAGGAGGCACAGAGCGAAGAGGACAAUGAGGGACUCGCUGCUUUUCCGUCAUCUCAAGACAGAAAUCCCCAGUCGGCCCCGGUGGAAAUGACAGCCGUUCCUCCGUCCCCAACCUUCCCAUUUACCUUUAGCCCUGCCAGCCCACCACGUCAAGGCACCUCCGAUACCAAAUCUCCAGCUUUCCUGUUCUCCCUGAACUCUGAUCCCAGCACGCUGGCCUUCUCUGGGUUCGGAUUUGACCGCGGCUCUUCUCAGGAGGAGGAGUCUCCUUUCGCUUUUACCUGCCCCCUUUUCAACGAGAAGAAAAACUCAGAACCGAAGUCUUCAACCUGCCCGGAGUUCCUGUUUGGACAACCAGAGCAAAGUGAAGCCUUCAAGUUUCCCUUUCCAUCCCAAAACCCUCGGACAACCGACAAAGAGGACACCAGGGAGGAUUUCCCAUUUUCAUUCAACUUUUGAGGAAU
ensembl:lncRNA